CCGAUGUUGAAAGACAGCUUCUCGCUUUCCCUACAGGAUGGGCCCGCGGCGCGUUUCCUAGUUGGGGAGGUAACGGCUCCCCCAGGCAACAAUGCCUACCCAACCUGAAAGGGUGACCGGCCCCCCUGGGACUGAGACCCGGCCCAAACUCCUACGGGAGGCACCACUAGGGAAUCUUCCACAAUGGACAAAAUUCUGAUGGACCACCGCCCCCUGAUUGAAAAAGGUUCUCGAAUCGUAAAACUCUGUUGUGAGGGAAGAACAAUUACCGGAUUAACUGCCGGUACCUUGACGGUACCUCAUUAAAAAGCCACGGCAAACUACGUGCCAACACCCCCGGUAAUACAUAUGUGGCACUCUUUGUCCGGAUUCAUUGGGCGUAAAGCGCGCGCAGGCGGUCCCUUAAUCCUGAUGUGAAAGCCCACGGCUCACCCGUGGAGGGUCAUGGUAAACUGGGGAACUUGAUUGCAUAAAAGGAAAGCGAAAUUCCAAGUGUCUCGGUGAAAUGCGUAAAGAUUGAAGGAACACCAGUGAGCGAAGGCGGAUUUCUCGCCUGUAUCUGCCGCUGAGGCGCGCAAGCGUGGGGGAGCAUAGCAGGAUAUAUAUACCCUGGUAGUCCACGCGUAAACAAUGAGUGCUGAGGAGUAUGGGGGUUUCCGCCCCUUACUGCUGCAGCUGACGCAGUAAGCACUACGCCUGGGGAAAUACGGUCGCAGACUGAAACUCAAAAGAUCAUAGGAGGCCCUCGACAUCAGGUGGACCAUGUUGAUUAAUUCGAUGCACCCGGAAUAACCUUACAAUGUCUGGACGUCCCGCCGACGUCUAGGCAUACUAGCUUGCUACGGCACGCGG
rnacentral:rRNA from 1 species